CCCUUAGAUGUUCUGGGCCGCACGCGCGCUACACUGUUGCAUUCAACGAGUCUAAAACCUGCUCUGAUAGGGGUGGGUAAUCUUUUGAAUGUGCAUCGUGAUUGGGAUAGAUGAUUGCAAUUUUUCAUCUUCAACGAGGAAUGCCUAGUAAACGCAAGUCAUCAGCUUGCAUUGAUUACGUCCCUGCCCUUUGUACACACCGCCCGUCGCUCCUACCGAUUGAAUGAUCCGAUGAAUAUCAUGGAUUGAGGAUGCAAGCAGGUUCGCCUGUCUUCAUCUUCGAGAAGUGAAGUAAAUCUUAUCAUUUAGAGGAAGGAGAAGUCGUAACA
rnacentral:rRNA from 1 species